AGGGUUGUAUUUAUAUUAAUAAUAUCUGUUUUGCAUUCAGAAGAUGCUAUUUAGUUUGCCUACCUUA
rnacentral:tRNA from 1 species